rnacentral:pre_miRNA from 1 species
CAUGUACUCCCUCCAUCCCAAAAUUCUUGUCUUACAUUUGUCUAGAUAUGAAUGUAUCCAGUCAUGUUUUAGUAUUUAGAUACAUUCAUUUCUAGACAAACUUAAGACAAGAAUUUUGGGAUGGAGGGAGUAGAUA